ACACACAGGAAGUGAUGUCACCUACAGACAGGUGGUUUCUAGAUAGAAGCAAGUUUGCAGGAAGAAGAGAAGGAUAUCCUUGCAAUCGGCUGCAGAGAAGAUAUUGCCUCCUGUAAAGUCUACUGGCCAGGUGACCAAUAAGGUGCCUCCACCACUUUCCCUGACCAUUGAAAGAAACAAGAAGGUUCUUGAGGUCACCAAUAAGACCAUUGAACUGAUGACAGGAGAGGUUCCUAUAAGGUGUCAGGAUGUCACUGUCUAUUUCUCCAU